AUUACGUAACAAAGGUUUAAUGAGAUAUGACGUAAAUGAUAGUUAUACAUAGCAAUUAGAAAUAGAUUAUUUAAUAUAACAUAAUAAAUAGGCCUAAAUUAUGUACCAAUAUAUCAAAUGAAAGCACAUAUUCUGUUACAGUGCCUGCUAUACACUCCAGACUCACGCUGCUCACAAUCAAAUACAGCCAAAGUACUACUACUACAGGAAUGGCUAGACUUGCACCAGUCCCAGGCCUUAGUCAAACCGCCACACCCUCCCGAAUAUAUAUAUAUUGGCGGGGGAGGUGGGUUGCGAGAUAAAAAUCCCCUCUACCCCCCCCCCCCAAAAAAAAAUC